rnacentral:ncRNA from 1 species
AAGUAUACGAUGAAAAGAUAAGUAAAAGGAUGUUGGAUUUUACAGAGAAUCUGAGUAGCUGAGAACAGAGAAAUUCAUUCCUUUGAAAAUGGUCUUGGAGUAUUAAUUGUGAAACAAUAGCAAUUACGGUUUGUUUUCGUUAUCAAACAGAAAAUAAUACUUUAAAAAGUAUGUUUUCAUUAAGACAUUCAAAGAUGAAUGUGAACCAAGGUGGUACCGCGAAAAGAUUUUCGCCCUUAUU